rnacentral:rRNA from 1 species
AGUGAACGCUGGCGGUAGGCCUAACACAUGCAAGUCGAACGGCAGCACAGUAAGAGCUUGCUCUUACGGGUGGCGAGUGGCGGACGGGUGAGGAAUACAUCGGAAUCUACUUUUUCGUGGGGGAUAACGUAGGGAAACUUACGCUAAUACCGCAUACGACCUACGGGUGAAAGCAGGGGAUCUUCGGACCUUGCGCGAUUGAAUGAGCCGAUGUCGGAUUAGCUAGUUGGCGGGGUAAAGGCCCACCAAGGCGACGAUCCGUAGCUGGUCUGAGAGGAUGAUCAGCCACACUGGAACUGAGACACGGUCCAGACUCCUAUGGGAGGCAGCAGUGGGGAAUAUUGGACAAUGGGCGCAAGCCUGAUCCAGCCAUACCGCGUGGGCGAAGAAGGCCUUCGGGUUGUAAAGCCCUUUUGUUGGGAAAGAAAAGCAGCAGGUUAAUACCCCGCUGUUCUGACGGUACCCAAAGAAUAAGCACCGGCUAACUUCGUG